rnacentral:rRNA from 1 species
AAAUUGAAGAGUUUGAUCAUGGCUCAGAUUGAACGCUGGCGGCAGGCCUAACACAUGCAAGUCGAGCGGUAGCACAGAGAGCUUGCUCUCGGGUGACGAGCGGCGGACGGGUGAGUAAUGUCUGGGAAACUGCCUGAUGGAGGGGGAUAACUACUGGAAACGGUAGCUAAUACCGCAUAACGUCGCAAGACCAAAGUGGGGGACCUUCGGGCCUCAUGCCAUCAGAUGUGCCCAGAUGGGAUUAGCUAGUAGGUGGGGUAACGGCUCACCUAGGCGACGAUCCCUAGCUGGUCUGAGAGGAUGACCAGCCACACUGGAACUGAGACACGGUCCAGACUCCUACGGGAGGCAGCAGUGGGGAAUAUUGCACAAUGGGCGCAAGCCUGAUGCAGCCAUGCCGCGUGUGUGAAGAAGGCCUUCGGGUUGUAAAGCACUUUCAGCGGGGAGGAAGGCGUUAAGGUUAAUAACCUUGGCGAUUGACGUUACCCGCAGAAGAAGCACCGGCUAACUCCGUGCCAGCAGCCGCGGUAAUACGGAGGGUGCAAGCGUUAAUCGGAAUUACUGGGCGUAAAGCGCACGCAGGCGGUCUGUCAAGUCGGAUGUGAAAUCCCCGGGCUCAACCUGGGAACUGCAUUCGAAACUGGCAGGCUAGAGUCUUGUAGAGGGGGGUAGAAUUCCAGGUGUAGCGGUGAAAUGCGUAGAGAUCUGGAGGAAUACCGGUGGCGAAGGCGGCCCCCUGGACAAAGACUGACGCUCAGGUGCGAAAGCGUGGGGAGCAAACAGGAUUAGAUACCCUGGUAGUCCACGCCGUAAACGAUGUCGAUUUGGAGGUUGUGCCCUUGAGGCGUGGCUUCCGGAGCUAACGCGUUAAAUCGACCGCCUGGGGAGUACGGCCGCAAGGUUAAAACUCAAAUGAAUUGACGGGGGCCCGCACAAGCGGUGGAGCAUGUGGUUUAAUUCGAUGCAACGCGAAGAACCUUACCUGGUCUUGACAUCCACAGAACUUUCCAGAGAUGGAUUGGUGCCUUCGGGAACUGUGAGACAGGUGCUGCAUGGCUGUCGUCAGCUCGUGUUGUGAAAUGUUGGGUUAAGUCCCGCAACGAGCGCAACCCUUAUCCUUUGUUGCCAGCGGUUCGGCCGGGAACUCAAAGGAGACUGCCAGUGAUAAACUGGAGGAAGGUGGGGAUGACGUCAAGUCAUCAUGGCCCUUACGACCAGGGCUACACACGUGCUACAAUGGCAUAUACAAAGAGAAGCGACCUCGCGAGAGCAAGCGGACCUCAUAAAGUAUGUCGUAGUCCGGAUUGGAGUCUGCAACUCGACUCCAUGAAGUCGGAAUCGCUAGUAAUCGUAGAUCAGAAUGCUACGGUGAAUACGUUCCCGGGCCUUGUACACCGCCCGUCACACCAUGGGAGUGGGUUGCAAAAGAAGUAGGUAGCUUAACCUUCGGGAGGGCGCUUACCACUUUGUGAUUCAUGACUGGGGUGAAGUCGUAACAAGGUAACCGUAGGGGAACCUGCGGUUGGAUCACCUCCUUACCUUAAAGAA